rnacentral:misc_RNA from 1 species
UUGCGCGCCCCCGACUAG